rnacentral:rRNA from 1 species
CAGUAGCCGCGGGAAUACGUAGGUGGCAAGCGUUGUCCGGAAUUAUUGGGCGUAAAGCGCGCGCAGGCGGAUCAGUCAGUCUGUCUUAAAAGUUCGGGGCUUAACCCCGUGAUGGGAUGGAAACUGCUGAUCUAGAGUAUCGGAGAGGAAAGUGGAAUUCCUAGUGUAGCGGUGAAAUGCGUAGAUAUUAGGAAGAACACCAGUGGCGAAGGCGACUUUCUGGACGAAAACUGACGCUGAGGCGCGAAAGCCAGGGGAGCGUACGGGAUUAGAUACCCCCGUAGUCCCUGUCUCUUAUACA